GAAAACAUAAAGUGCGUAUAACAAAAUAAAUGAGACGAGUGAGAACAUAAAGUUAAUAAAUUUUUCAGUGUUUUGGCGUGCUUCAGUAAAUUAUCGGCCAUGACAUUGGUUGUGACUUAGUUCUUCGCAUUGGCAUAAAUUUGCCACUAUUGCAAUAAAGAAAUGUAUAUCAGAUAAUUUCCCAGCUAUCCAAGUUUUUGCAGAAUAUUAAUAGUUGGAGGCCAUUUUCCUGUGAAGUAAGAUUACCAAAGUUUGAGGUUACUGUGUUCUUGAAUGCGUCCCAGUAAGCAAAAGUUGAAUCACAUCCUACCAUCAAAUAUCAGAGUAAGAUGUGUUACUAGCAAUGUGAUGACAGAUUAAUGCAUCAAACUAAGAAUAGGAAACAAGAUGUUUUGCCUAUGUUUGCCUCUGCAAAUAAGGUUAUUGUGAUUUACGGUCAAGAAUGAUGAACUUUUUCCCAAAAAUUGAGGGUCGGUCCUUAAAGAAAACAACUACAAUAAAAUGAAAAAUGAAAAUCAUAUAAAUAGAAGAUACAAGAGUCACGAGAAGUCAAGAAUCACAAAGAAAAGUAGAAAGAGGAAUUAAAAUUAGACCUUGCCCAAAAUGUCGGAUUCCUCAUUAUGUUACGAAU